CCGCUCUCCAUCUUGGCAGAGCUCUCCAUGCGAAGCGGCGGCCAAGGAGUCGCGGAAUCGGAGCGAGCCGGGACGCGAGGAAGUGUAAGAGACGAUGAGGCCUGAAGCAAAGCCACAGCACCGGUUUUCCACCCCGAGGAAGCCUCCACGACUGGCGAAAGAGCGGUUAUUCAGGCACUUCCGGCCAUCCACGUGCUGCAGCUGUGAGCUCUGGGUGCAGGCCGCUAGGAGGCGCCUAGGCAAAGCCUCCUUGUGGCCCAUCCACUCCUCUCUCUCAAAAUAGUGUGUGUGUGUUGGGGGGGGGGGGGGGGGUGUCGCCAACAGAGACACGUCUAACUGCGUUUUCUUUCCCAUUGGGUUGAAGCAUGCACCCUGAGCUCCUUUCCAAGUCAGACUCUAAUCAUUCCACACUUAAAAGGUCCGCAGUCCUGGCUCUACCACUAUUUUACGUUGUAACCUAGAACAAGUUCCUCUUCCUCCAACGCCCUCAGUUUCCUGAUCUGUGCAGGAGGGGCUACAUCAGCUAAUUUCGAAACGUACCUAGGAGCGCGCAAAAUUUGCAGAUAGCCAGCACAUGUUCUCAGUUUCCUUUUCACAUGCAGGUUUCACGCGUGCACAGAGAUCCUAAUUAUCAGGGACUUCAAGGCCAGAGCCCACUCCCAACCACGCAGACACACACACACACGCAGACACACACACAGAGCCUACUCCCAACCACACACACGAAAUGGGCGCCCAAAUGGAAGCGCCAACUAUGAAAACGCGCAUUGUAGUGGCCCUACGUGUUGGCCUCCGCCCAGGAGAAAAGACAGCUCGGGCGCUGGGAUCCUUCCGGCCAAAGCCACCGGAACAUUUGUCCCUAUUCUGCCCGCUCCAGUCCCGAGCCAAAAUUCCGUCCUCACUCUCCCCACUCCCGCAUCCUCAGCCUGCUUCCUUACAUGCUUUGCAAAGCUUUCCAAGAACCCAGGCGUUCUCUUCCUCCCACUGGAGUAAAUACAAAGAAUGCUCCCCAUCACGCUCCCAGCCCAGCACUGUCUCCACUUUCUCCUCCACCACUAAGGUAGAGAGGUUUAGAAUCUUUCCCCGAGUUUGCACCUCUGCCUUUCGGGAUUGCACCCUACAGACGGGAGUUCUUCACUGAAAUUGACUUUCAGGUCUUUUUAUUUUUUUUUUACUUUUUUUAAAAUUUUUACCAGUUUGGAGCAAAGGACCAAGGCUCAAGAGCCAAUCAGAAUUCUGCCUCAGAUCCUGUGACCUCAAUUAUGACUCCCCUCCCCCAACACGCACACCUGAGAGAGGGGCCACUGGCUCGCUUAGGCCAGGGGACUCCAAAUCUUGCACUGGAGGGAUAAAGCAGAUAAACUUGA